GACGAACGCUGGCGGCGUGCCUAACACAUGCAAGUCGAACGGGGGUAGCAAUACCUCAGUGGCGAACGGGUGCGUAACACGUGAAGAAUUUGUCUAACGGCGGGGGAUAGCCGGCCCAACGGCCGGGUAAUACCGCGUACGACCUCUGGAGGGCAUCCUCUGGUGGUGAAAGCCGCAAGGCGCCGAUAGAGAACUUCGCGGCCUAUCAGCUAGUUGGCGGGGUAAUGGCCCACCAAGGCGACGACGGGAGCUGGUCCGAGAGGAUGACCAGCCACAUUGGGACUGAGACACGGCCCAGACUCCUACGGGAGGCAGCAGUGGGGAAUAUUGCGCAAUGGGCGAAAGCCUGACGCAGCGACGCCGCGUGUGGGAUGACGGCCU
rnacentral:rRNA from 1 species